rnacentral:rRNA from 1 species
GCUCAUGAAAAGAAUAUUAGUUCCACCUAAAGUUGUUUAACCACUGNNGAAUGCUUAACUUUAGAGUAACUCAAAUAGGGUACAGCCUAUUUGAGACAGGACACAACCUAAUCUGGCGGGUAAUCCACACGACCCUAUAACCAAGUAGGCCUAAAAGCAGCCACCUUUAGAAAUGCGUCAGAGCUUAACUUCCCGGGCUAAAUAUUCCAUAAACCCUUCAAACCCCCUCCUAAUAAUGAGCUCUUCUAUAAAAUAUAGAAAAAAUAAUGCUAAGACUAGUAACAAGAAGAAACAACCCUUCUCUUUCAUGCAAGCAUAGCCCAGCCCCGGAUAACCCGCUGGCAAUUAACCGCCGUGAGCCUUUAAUGGCAACACCCCUUUUCUCGAGAGACCCCCAUUAACACAUCCUGUUAACCUAACACAAGAGCAUGAUAAGAAAGAUUUAAAGAGUGGGAAGGAACUCGGCAAAUUAAAAUCCCGCCUGUUUACCAAAAACAUCGCCUCCUGACUAAACAUANNNNNNNNNNNNNNNNNNNNNNNNNNNNNNNNNNNNNNNNNNNNNNNNNNNUGCAAAGGUAGCGCAAUCACUUGUCCUCUAAAUAAGGACUCGUACGAACGGCAUCACGAGAAUUUAACUGUCUCCCCCCCCUAAUCCGUGAAACUAAUCUCCCUGUGAAAAAGCAGGGAUGAACCCAUAAGACGAGAAGACCCUAUGGAACUUCAAACAAAUAACACCUGCUCAUCACUAAUCUCCUUCCCGAACUGCAACCCCCAUGAGCAUACUGAUUAUAAGUUUUUGGUUGGGGCGACCGCGGAGAAAAACUUAUCCUCCAUGAUGGAACAAACCCGAUUUAAAAUCAUAAGUUACAACUUUUCUAAUCAACAAAUUGACGUUAUUGACCCAAACUUUUUGAUCAACGAAACAAGCUACCCUAGGGAUAACAGCGCAAUCUACUUCAAGAGUACAUAUCGACAAGUAGGCUUACGACCUCGAUGUUGGAUCAGGGUUCCCUGGUGGCGCAGCCGCUACAAAGGUUCGUUUGUUCAACGAUUAAAACCCUACGU